rnacentral:rRNA from 1 species
UCAUUUAAGGUUGGUACGUCCAACGCGACCCCAGGUCAGGCGGGAUUACCCGCUGAAUUUAAGCAUAUCAAUAA